UAAGACGAACCGUGCGAACGUUGUUCGGAAUCACUGGGCUUAAAGGGCGCGUAGGCGGGUAUUCAAGUCAGGGGUGAAAUCCUCCAGCUUAACUGGAGAACUGCCUUUGAUACUGGGUGUCUCGAGUGAGGUAGGGGCGUGCGGAACUGAUGGUGGAGCGGUGAAAUGUGUUGAUAUCAUCAGGAACUCCGGUGGCGAAAGCGGCGCGCUGGACCUUUACUGACGCUGAUGCGCGAAAGCUAGGGGAGCAAACGGGAUUAGAUACCCCGGUAGUCCUAGCCCUAAACGAUGAGAACUAGGUAGUAGACUUGACAUGGGUUUACUGCCGAAGCAAAAGUGCUAAGUUCUCCGCCUGGGGAGUAUGGUCGCAAGGCUG
rnacentral:rRNA from 1 species